GAUGAACGCUAGCGGCAGGCUUAAUACAUGCAAGUCGAGGGACAGCACAGGUAGCAAUACUGGGUGGUAACCGGCAAACGGGUGCGGAACACGUACACAACCUUCCUUUAAGUGGGGGAUAGCCCAGAGAAAUUUGGAUUAAUACCCCGUAAUAUAGUUGAAUGGCAUCAUUUGAUUAUUAUAGCUACGGCGCUUAAUGAUGGGUGUGCGGCUGAUUAGAUAGUUGGCGGGAUAACGGCCCACCAAGUCUACGAUCAGUAGCUGAUGUGAGAGCAUGAUCAGCCACACGGGAACUGGGCAACGGGCCCGACUCCUACGGAAGGCAGAAGUAAGGAAUAUUGGUCAAUGGACGCAAGUCUGAACCAGCCAUGCCGCGUGAAGGAUUAAGGUCCUCUGGAUUGUAAACUUCUUUUAUUUGGACGAAAAAGGGCCUUUCUAGGUCAACUGACGGUACCAGAUGAAUAAGCACCGGCUAACUCCGUGCCAGCCGCCGCGGUAAAAC
rnacentral:rRNA from 1 species